AGUGGGACAAAAAAAUGCAAUUUUGCCGCUGAAAAUUGGAACUGGAAACAAAAUGGUGGAAGCUUGUUUAGUGAGGCGAGAGAGAUAAGCUACUGCGCAAGGAGGAAGCUUGGAAAAAUUCUGAGUGAUCUCCGGUACUCCGAAUUUCUGUCAGUAAUCACGUCCUACUUCCGAAAUUCUCAUGGAAUCUAAAGAGGGGUCGGCGGAAAUUGACCAACUGGAAAGGGGCUUGUUGCUGGACGGCGGUGAAGAUGAAGGACCUACAUUCUAUACGGCGUCGUUCUUGGAAGCGGAAGACAAUUUCGUGAAAUACCAGACGGUUCGGUGGGCUUUGUACUCUUUGCUUUUGGUACUGGCGUGGGGCAUCGGUUUGUUCAUGCUGAUUUAUUUGCCUGUGCGGAGGUAUAUUUUGCGCAAAGAUAUUCGGUCCCGGAAACUCUAUCUCACUUCCAAUGCCAUUGUUUACAAAGUAAGAAGGCCGGUGCCAUUUCCGUGCUUUGGAGUUCUGAAGAGAGAGAAGCAUAUCUUACUGCCCUCGGUGGCAGAUGUUGUAAUAGAACAGGGAUAUCUGCAGUCCCGAUUUGGGGUGUACUCUAUUAGAAUAGAGAAUAUUGGAGUUAGAAGGCCGCCAAGUGAUGAUGUCCAAAUCCAAGGAGUUGCUAAUCCUCAUGCUUUCAGAGAGGCUGUUCUUAUGCGCCUGUCCAACAUGAGAGGUGAGGCAUUCUCUAGACAAGUUUCUAUUGUUGAAGAUGUUUCUACUCCUAGGAUUGGUCAUUCUGCCAUUGCUUCGAUGUCCCCUUCAAUAUCACUGAGGCAUGAUUCUCUUCCUCACCCUGGUGAGGUGGCCAUUCUGCAAAAACUAGAGGAAGUUGGCAGUUCAGUGAAGAGAGUUCAAACUUUGAUUCAAGAGCAGAACCUUCAAAAACAGGAAUUGUCAGAUUGAGAAUGAUGCUUAAUCGGUCACGGCAUUUUGUGUUUCCUCACAUAUUUUGAUGUAGAUGCCAUUACUUCAAGUUGAGCUACCAUCUCGUGGCUAACUUUUUCAUGAUGUCCCUGAACUUGCUCAUGAUGCAAUUACAUCACUCAGUUUCAUUUAAUUAAUGAGUUCUCCAGCAUUUCAGAGUGUCAAAGGGCAGGUGUUAUUUGGACUCGUUUGGUCUCAUUUUGUUUCCUUUCUACUGGGGAUGUGAGUAACAGGGCAGGUUGGUAUAUCACUUGGGCUCCGGAGGUUUCUUGGAGCGUUCAAGAGUACGUUUUUUCAGUAUGCAUUUGACACUUUUAAAAGGUGUUACAGAUAAUUAAUGAGUAAUAGUUAUAGGUCAAGUAUAGAAUUCAGUUUACUUACUUUAAGUUGAGCAUCCGUAUCCCUAGCUAGGUAGGUUUCUCCUGUAUUUUAUAUAUUCAUACCAUUGAGGUCUUGGGUUUCCAAAAUAGUGUAAAAGGAAGUGCACCAAAUCAUUGCUAUUUAACUCGGAUUUGUUCUAAAAAAGUCGAGGUAUUUCAAUUUGUUUGUAUGGUCAGACAAAGUA